AAGACUAUGCUUUCAGGGAUCAUUUCUAUAGUUUGUUACUAGGGAAGUUUCUCAGAACGUGUAAAGCACCGAACAACAACAACAAAAAAAACAAUUCAAGAAUAAAAUCUGAGCAGC
rnacentral:snoRNA from 1 species